rnacentral:tRNA from 1 species
GGGCGGCUAGCUCAGUUGGUUAGAGUACUUGCUUGACAUGCAAGGGGUCAGCAGUUCAAAUCUGCUGCUGCCCACCA